GACGAACCGUGCAAACGUUAUUCGGAAUCACUGGGCUUAAAGGGCGCGUAGGCGGGUGGUCCAGUCAGGGGUGAAAUCUUUCGGCCUAACCGGAAAAGUGCCUCUGAUACGGACCGUCUCGAGGGAGGUAGGGGCAUGCGGAACUUCCGGUGGAGCGGUGAAAUGCGUAGAUAUCGGAAGGAACGCCGGUGGCGAAAGCGGCGUGCUGGACCUCUUCUGACGCUGAGGCGCGAAAGCCAGGGGAGCAAACGGG
rnacentral:rRNA from 1 species